GCUUAGCCCUAAACACAGAUAAUUACAUAAACAAAUAUUUGCCAGAGUACUACCAG
rnacentral:rRNA from 1 species